AACGAACGCUGGCGGCGCGCCUAACACAUGCAAGUCGAACGAGAAUCCGGGGCAACCCGGUAGUAAAGUGGCAAACGGGUGAGGAAUACAUGGGUAACCUACCCUUGAGAAGGGAAUAACCCGCCGAAAGGUGAGCUAAUACCCUAUACGCUAUCUUUUUUUCGAAAAGGAUAGGAAAGCCGGGUCGAGGACCUGGUACUCAAGGAGGGGCUCAUGUCCUAUCAGCUUGUUGGUGGGGUAACGGCCUACCAAGGCUACGACGGGUAGCUGGUCUGAGAGGAUGAUCAGCCACACUGGCACUGAGAUACGGGCCAGACUCCUACGGGAGGCAGCAGUGAGGAAUAUUGCGCAAUGGGGCGAAAGCCUGACGCAGCGACGCCGCGUGGGGGAUGAAGGUUUUCGGAUUGUAAACCCCCUUUCAUGAGGAAAGAUAAAGUGGGUAACCACUUAGACGGUACCUCAAGAAGAAGCCACGGCUAACUUCGUG
rnacentral:rRNA from 1 species